rnacentral:tRNA from 1 species
GUCCAGGGAUGGUAAUCGAACCCACAGUGUUCCGCUUACCGGGCAGAUGCCAUGUCCACUAGGCUACCCUGGA